AGACACAAUGUGCCUGCACAGAGAUGCUCCUGAUGGCUUUCUGCUGCCAUAUAAAAAUUUUCCUGGACCAUGAAGAAUUACCCCAUAGAAGAAUACCAUAACUAAUAUGGCAAUGAAAGAAUGCAUAAUAGGAAUUAAUCAGCAGGCUUUCAGAAACACAGGUUUUGUUUCAUUCCCUUGCUUGAGCUUUUGAGAUAAAUUGAUGGGAUUUUAAAAGUACCAGCUUAUCAAGAAGAGAAUGUAAAAAUUCCUCCCUGGGCAUUACCUGUGCAAUGAACAUGGCUCUAUCAUUUCGUACCUACUGUUUGAAAAUUACUUUGUCAGGCAAGAUGUCAAGUUCCUUUUUUGGGACAUCAAGUAGGGUAUAUGGUCCAGUACAUUCUGCACAGAUCUCGAGUUUGAUGAUGCUUCCAAACGUACACACUAUGAGUCCCUGAUGAGCCCAGAAGAACGCACCACUUUGAUUGUAGAAUGCAAAACACAGAGUGACCAAUUCUGUGAGCUGUGUAUUUCUGUUUAUAGAGGCUGUAGAGCUCAUUCAGCAAUAGAAGAAUUAACCUUUUCUGCUUGUGCAUCUUAACAUUGUUAAUCACAGUUGAAACACACUCCUUUUUACAAGGACAUGGUAGUAGUAGUAGUAGUAGUAGUAGUAGUAGUAGUAGUAGUAGUUUAUUCAUCCAGAGACA